UACGUAGGGGGCAAGCGUUGUCCGGAUUUAUUGGGCGUAAAGAGCGUGUAGGCGGCCAGACAGGUCCGUUGUGAAAACUCGAGGCUCAACCUCGAGAUGUCGAUGGAAACCGUCUGGCUAGAGUCCGGAAGAGGAGUGUGGAAUUCCUGGUGUAGCGGUGAAAUGCGCAGAUAUCAGGAAGAACACCAGUGGCGAAGGCGGUCUGCUGGGCGGUGGGACCGAAAGGUCUCGAUGCCGACACUGAGGCGCGACAGCGUGGGAGCAAACAGG
rnacentral:rRNA from 1 species